GCCCAGCAUCUAGCCCCCCCCCCGAAAACCAUUAACCCCUAUUAAUAAAACCCUUGACACCCCCGCCUGAAACCUAAACAUUUUUUCCCCUUAGUAUGGGAAACCCAAAAAGGACUCCGAACGAUAAAAAAAGGACCUCCAGGGGAAGCUUAAAGAAAAUUAAUUACCCGACCCCAACCCCGAAAACCAAAA
rnacentral:rRNA from 1 species